GACGCCAUUUUUGAACUUUAGAGAAGCUCUAAACUCUCUCUUUUUUUCAAACUGGUGUUAAUGGAUCCACAGAUUCAUCACCAUUUUCAUAAACUAAACACCAUAUAGAAGAUCUCAUCACUCUCUCUGAUUCUCUGAUUCUCUGUUUCUAUAUAUUUGGGUAUAUGAUACUUUUAUUAGUCAAUUGUGUAGUAGUACUAUGUAGUGAACAUAUUGGAGAGAAAUGCAAGUUGCAAUUGAUCAAUGGAAGGUGAGAAGGCGAACCUUCUAGGACCAGAAGCAGCAGCAGCAGCAGCGUCCAAGCCCAUUUCCAUUCCUCCAAUCGAUCCAUCAGAAUCCGCUAAUGUCAGCCGUUCCUUUACACUCUCUUCAACAACAACCACGACGUCUUCUUCCUCAUCUUCUCCACCGGAUUUCCUCCGUCACAUUCAAGCAGCCUUCAAACGCCCUCGUCCUCGGGGUACAAUGCAAUCAAAUGGUAUUAUGCCAAGGAGAUCGGUAGCUCCUGUGCGGCAAGCAUCAAGAGGCUCUACUGUGAAUACAGAUUGUACAGUUGAAGCAAAGAAGACCCAAGAUGAAAUUCCCCUGAGUCACAGAUUAAUGGAAUGUAUUUCACAACCAAAGAACAUUGGUUCUGAUACUGUAGAAGCUCAAGAGGAUGCAUCUAUGCCACCUUCGGAGUAUGGCUCAACAGUCGACGUGCAUGAAGAGAAUUAUAAUUCAUUCAAUAGUUUGAGAGAUCAACCAAGAUCCUUCACUGGUCAUAGAAGCAACAUAACAUCUGCUUCCUUGGGAACAGAGUGUGAGCAUGUUUUAUUGGCUGAAGGGCAGAAGAAGGUCCAUUUUGCUGCUGAUAGCACUUCCAGGUCUCAGGGUGUCAAUGACCAAAUGGUCACUGGAACAGAGGACUUGUUGUCUCAUGUGAAUUCACUUACAUUGACAGAAAUGGAUUGGGAUGUAGGCAAUCAGAUGGAGGCUGUCACUGCUGCUAGCCAAGUCUUGAGAGAUCAAAAUAUUCAUACCACCGAUGUGGAUGGUAACGGGAGUUCCUCUCUAUUGGCAAAUAGAACAUUAGGAGUUGCAGAUCAGAUUCACCAAUUCAGGAACUUCUUACGGAAUGAUUUGAGCCACCCCAUGACUCAAGCUUCGGUGGUUGGUUCAAGCUGCACUACAACUACAUUGAUAAACUCGACAUCUGCUCCCAUGUUAAACUCAACAACCUAUUGUCCACAAUCUCAUCUUGCAAGCAACCCUAUGGAGUCACUGGGGGAACAUAAACUGAAAUCUGAACAUCUGAUGCAAUCUUCUUAUCCUGUUCCAAAAAAUGAAAACAGGCUUUCAGCUGAUCAGACAGCUAUUGCUGUACCUAGUUCUACCACUGAAACUGAUUCAGAAGUUAAGAGACCUAAUCUGGCUGAAGGGCCGAAGAAUAGUAUGCUGAUUAAAGGUGACAUGCCUAAAGAUACUUCCCCUCUCGAGGAUAACUCAGCCAAAGAAUGUGUUACGGAUGUACAAUCUGAAGCUCCCUUGUCAAAAGUGUCAUCUUCCAACAUGAAGUUGGAACCUUCUAAGUCUGAAAAGCAAGAAAAAAGUGUGGGUAGUAAAGCAACAUCUUCGUCUCGUAAAAAAGGCUAUGAUCCUGAUACAUUUUUCAAAGUCAACGGAAAGCUUUACCAAAGGCUUGGUAAGAUAGGUAGUGGUGGAAGUAGUGAGGUCCACAAAGUCAUUGCAUCAGAUUGCUCAAUUUAUGCCCUGAAGAAAAUCAAACUUAAAGGUCGUGACUAUGCUACUGCAUAUGGGUUUUGUCAGGAAAUUGAGUAUUUAAAGAGACUGAAGGGAAAGAACAACAUCAUUCAACUAAUUGACUAUGAGGUUACAGAUAAAAAUUUACUAGAUGAAGUCAUGAAUGGCUCGAUGAGUAAUAAUGAAACAAGAGUCAAAGAAGAUGGAUACAUAUACAUGGUUCUCGAAUACGGUGAAAUUGAUCUGGCUCAUAUGCUGUCUCAGAAAUGGAGGGAACUAGAUGGCUCUGAUUCAAUUAUUGAUGAAAACUGGCUUCGAUUUUACUGGCAGCAAAUACUUCUUGCUGUUAACACCAUACACGAGGAACGGAUAGUCCACUCUGACCUAAAGCCAGCUAAUUUCCUUCUUGUCAGAGGCUCGUUAAAGCUGAUUGAUUUUGGUAUAGCAAAGGCUAUAAUGUGUGACACAACCAACAUUCAACGUGAUUCACAGGUGGGUACUUUAAGCUACAUGUCCCCUGAAGCUUUUAUGUGUAAUGAGACAGAUGCAAAUGGCAAUACUAUAAAGUGUGGUCGGCCGUCAGAUAUCUGGUCAUUGGGAUGCAUCCUUUACCAAAUGGUUUACGGGAGAACACCGUUUUCAGAAUACAAAACUUUCUGGGCGAAAUUCAAAGUUAUAACAAAUCCAAACCAUGCAAUCACAUAUGAACCUUUGUCCAACCCCUGGCUACUUGAUCUUAUGAAGAAGUGUCUUGCAUGGGACCGAAAUGAAAGAUGGAGAAUUCCUGAGCUACUCCAACAUCCAUUCCUCGUUCCCCCUGUUCCACCACAGUUACCUGCUCCAGUUGAGCAAACCUGUACACUGCUUCAAUUAAUUGCUAAAUCAUGUGAAAACGAUGGAAAGACAUCAACUCUAUGUAUGAAACUCCAAAAUUUACUAGUGCAGCCCAGUCAAAUAUCGCACGAGGCAUUACCUGUAAGCCAAUACCAGAAGUUGCUUGGUGAUGUCUCUGCCCUCUGUCUUCAACUCCAAGAACAGUUGGGUAACUCAGAAAGAGGAACAAAGAUGUAAUGUUAAAAGAUGAUUUAUAUAUUUUAGCAUUCUUCAGUAGGUUCUUUAAGAUAUUGGGCAGUUACAUGUCUGUCUCCAUCUUUAAAGUCUUCUGCCAAGUUACUGAUGUGUAUACUAAAACUACUCAAAACAAAGUGGGCAUUGCCACCUGGUUUUGUUUUCUUAAAGUGGCUUGCAGAUAAUAGGUGAAGAAGUGUUGUAACUUUGCCUAAGAAAGAGGACCCCUAUGUAUGUGCAAGGAUUGUUGGAUCCAAGGGUUGUGUUAUGGAUUCUCUUUCAGUUGGAAAAUGCAACACCAUAUGUUCUUCAAUAGCUUCACUAAGUUGGGACCAGUGUUUAAUAAGACAAUUCUGGGACUCGCCCUUGGUGGGACACAUGCAAAAUACCUUCGACGCUCAAGUGUGGGGCUUACUUAGCUCUAAACACGCUUAAUACUCAUUGUGUACUUUAACAUUGUUGAUCCUUGUAAUUCUUACUUUAUUUUAUUGACUAUAUUAUAAAUUUAAAAA